UCAUUCCGAUAACGAACGAGACUCCAGCUUGCUAAAUAGUUACGUGGCCCCGUGCGGUCGGCGUUCAACUUCUUAGAGGGACAACUGGAGUCUCGUUCGUUAUCGGAAUGAUCCAGACAAAUCGCUCCACCA